rnacentral:misc_RNA from 1 species
AAGUCGUAACAAGGUUUCCGUAGGUGAACCUGCGGAAGGAUCAUUAACACGUAUCCAAACGUUAAAACCCCCCCCGUGAACUUUCAAUCCUGCUCUUGUAACCCGCGUAGCUCUGGUAAAGCAAAGCCCGGAAAGGCGUUUUGAUUCAGAGACCUCUGGCUACGUGAGAACAUUGGAACAGUUACAAUCGAGCGGUAGUUUCAUAGGCAUUGUUUCCCCAAGCAGUCAGUGUAGCGCUUCACGAUUCCUGUAGACCGUACACUAGGAGCUAUUCCAAAGGGUCCCCAUGCCCCCUUAAAACCCCACAGUUUAAUAUGUAAUACAUUGGGUAAAAAAACCGAACAACUGUUAACAAUGGAUAUCUUGGUUCUC